UAUUUAAAACUAAAUUAUUUUAAUUGUUUAUUUAAGGCAAAACGCAUUUAAUUAAGUAUUUCCAAACAAAUUUACUAAAAAACAUCCCGAAAGGACCCACUAACAAUAUUUCUCAGAAAUGGCACACCCAUUUACCUUUUGCAUAAUGUAAUUGCAAGAAAAAACAACUUACUACUGUUUCCCGAAAAAUGGAGAGCUAUUAUUAUCACAACUUUUAGUGUAGCACUACUAAAACACAGUCAAUAAUAGCAGCAAAAUACCUGACGAACCACUUGAUAGCUGGCUGUCCCUUAAAGACAUGUUAGUGUCUUCUUACAGUAACAACAAUAUAAAUUUUCUUGUAAGAAAAACUCCAAGGGGGACAAGCUCCUUGGAGGAAUAUUAGAAAUAUAAUAAUAAUAACUGACCAAAAAGGCUUAAAAACAGCCAAAAUUAUCCGUUAUAGGAAAUGUACGUAUAAAACCAAUAUUAAAUAUAAAUUCUACUAUUAAAGGAACCUAAAAACCCAACCAACUUUUUUGUGAACCGGCAACUAUUAGUAUCUUCAAGCAUUUUAUGAUAAAGGUUUUGUUUUAAAAAAACUACCUCCCACAAUAUUUUAGCUUAAAAAAACAUUGGUAAUGAACUCGGCAAAUAUUUUUUCUGCCUGUUUAUCAAAAACAUCGUCUUUUGCCAAACAUCUAUAAAAGAUACUGCC
rnacentral:rRNA from 1 species